rnacentral:rRNA from 1 species
CCAAUAGCGUAUAUUAAAGUUGUUGCAGUUAAAAAGCUCGUAGUUGAAUUUCGGGGUUCUACCGUUGGUCGGGCUUUGUCUGUACUGGCGUGUAGAAUUUCUACCUUCUGGGGAACUAUCAUGUUAUUAAUUUAGCGUGGUAGGAAACCAGAACCUUUACCUUGAAAAAAUUAGAGUGUUCAAAGCAGGCUUAUGUCUGAAUACAUUAGCAUGGAAUAAUAAAAUAGGACGGUGGUCCUGUUUUGUUGGUUUCUGAAUCACCGUAAUGAUUAAUAGGGAUAGUUGGGGGCAUUAGUAUUCAAUUGUCAGAGGUGAAAUUCUUGGAUUUAUUGAAGACUAACUACUGCGAAAGCAUUUGCCAAGGAUGUUUUCAUUAAUCAAGAACGAAAGUUAGGGGAUCGAAGACGAUCAGAUACCGUCGUAGUCUUAACCAUAAACUAUGCCGACUAGGGAUCGGACGAUGUUAACUUUUCUUGACUCGUUCGGCGCCUUACG